CUACGGGGCGCAGCAGUAAGGAAUAUUGCACAAUGGGGGAAACCCUGAUGCAGCAACGCCGCGUGGACGAAGAAUGCCUUCGGGUCGUAAAGUCCUUUUCUGAGGGAAGAGGAAGGACGGUACCUCAGGAAUAAGUCUCGGCUAACUACGUGCCAGCAGCCGCGGUAAAACGUAGGAGGCGAGCGUUAUCCGGAUUCACUGGGCGUAAAGGGCAAGUAGGCGGUUGUUUAAGUUAGGUGUGACAUCUCUCGGCUUAACUGGGAGGGAGCGCUUAAAACUAGGCAACUAGAGGGCGGAAGAAGGGGGUAGAACUCCAAAUGUAGCGGUGGAAUGCUCAGAUAUUUGGAAGAAUACCAGUGGCGAAGGCGACCCCCCGGUCCGUGCCUGACGCUGAGAGGCGAAAGCUAGGGUAGCGAACGGGAUUAGAUACCCUCGUAGCC
rnacentral:rRNA from 1 species